rnacentral:lncRNA from 1 species
GAACCUCUCAAGUACCUCAGAAAUGGGGAAAGAGAGAAGGGAAAUUGGGAUAAAAAAAAGGAGGCUGCAUCCUCCAAAAAUCUGAGAGAUCCCAGAGAAUGCCCCAUGGCUUCUCCCUUUAUUGAAAUAAAGUUCCAGGCUUCUCCCUUUAUUGAAAUAAAGUUCCAGGACUGCUCUGUCUCCUUUUUGGCCAUAAACCUCUGGUGUUUAUGGAUUAAUUUCCCUAAAAUCAGCUUUGUUAUCCCCCCCAGCCGUGCCGGGACCACCCCAUCCAUCCCACCCUGAUCCCUCCCCGCUGCAAUCCCCACCAGCUGCAGCAGCUGGGCGCUCUCCCUCUGCUCAUCCUCCUCUCGGGCUCUCCCAGCGAUCCCCGGCAUGCCCAGGGCUGGAAUUUGUGUUGGUGAGGAAUGUUCUGCACCGAGGAGCAGCUGGUGUGGCACAAGCGCCGAGCCCGUGGCUCUGUCCCCUGAUUGUGUCACAUUCCUGCCCUUUGCACGGGGCUUGCUCUGCACUUCCAGUCUGGGGCCUUCAGCUGCAUUUGCUGGAGUUUUUUUUUCUGUGAAUCUCUUCUCCUGGCAAUCUCUUUUCCUGUGAAUCUCUUUUCCUGGCAAUCUCUUUUCCCUGGGAAUCUCUUUUCCUGGGAAUCUCUUUUCCCUGAGAGUCUCUUCGCCCUGGGAAUCCCUUUUCCUGGGAAUCUCUCUUCUUGGGACUCUCUUUUCCUGGGAAUCUCUUUUCCCUGGGAAUCCCUUUUCCUUGGAAUCUCUCUUCUUGGGACUCUCUUUUCCUGGGAAUCUCUUUUCCUGGGAAUCUCUCUUCUUGGGACUCUCUUUUCCUGGGAAUUUCUUUUCCUGGCAAUCUCUUUUCCUGGGAAUCUCUUUUCCCUGGGAAUCCCGUUUCCUGGGAAUCUCCCUUCUUGGG